GGCCUGAUGGCGAGUGGCGAACGGGUGAGUAAUGCAUCGGAACGUGCCCAGUCGUGGGGGAUACCGUAGCGAAAGUUACGCUAAUACCGCAUACGACCUAAGGGAGAAAGCGGGGGACCGAAAGGCCUCGCGCGAUUGGAGCGGCCGAUGUCAGAUUAGCUAGUUGGUGGGGUAAAGGCCCACCAAGGCGACGAUCUGUAGCGGGUCUGAGAGGAUGAUCCGCCACACUGGGACUGAGACACGGCCCAGACUCCUACGGGAGGCAGCAGUGGGGAAUUUUGGACAAUGGGGGCAACCCUGAUCCAGCCAUGCCGCGUGCGGGAAGAAGGCCUUCGGGUUGUAAACCGCUUUCGGACAGAAAGAAAUCGCACGGGACAAUACCCUGUGUGGAUGACGGUACUGUAAGAAGAAGCACCGGCUAACUACGUGCCAGCAGCCGCGGUA
rnacentral:rRNA from 1 species